UUUUCUCUCUUGGUCUUAAAUCUCAAGCAACCAACAUUCUAAUAUGAAAGGAAAAAGAAAUGUAACGUCUUUUUUGUGAAAAGUUAGUAACUGAAGAUAGUUGACAACUCGUCAUACCCAUAUCUAAGUAGCGUUCCAAUAUGCUAUAAAUGUGGAGGAGAAGCUUUUGUAAUUGUAAUAAACACAAUAAAUAUUUGGCCGAAGUUAUGAAGAUGAAGAGUUGGUUAUGAAGGGGGGGCUAUAUAUAAUAGCAGGUGGUUGUUGAGACAUCACAUGUUACAUCCAUGGAAUUCCUCCAGGUCCAACAACAAUAUUUCACUAGGGAAAGGAGAGAAAACAAGCAUAGGGAGCACAAAGAUUUCAUGGACGUGCUGUUUUACAAUGAGUAUAUAUAUGAUUAUCAGAUUGACAACUUAUUUGUGGCUGUUAUCUUCUCAUAUUCUUUUACUUGUAUAAUUAUCUUUAUUUUCAUGUUUCUUAGUCAUUAAUUUUUUGUCGUGAAGAUGAUUGUUAUUUAGCCACUGUUGCAUUAACACAAGUUCAACAUUCCUGUCCAAUACUUUUUUUUUUUUUUUUUUUUU
rnacentral:lncRNA from 1 species